rnacentral:lncRNA from 1 species
AGAAUUGCAAGAUUAGAUUUUCUUUUCUCCAAGUUUCCCAGAUGCUCUGGCCUGAAGCCCAGGAUAGAAGGAAACACAGGCGCCAAAAGUAUGAAUCGUACGGACCAUGGUGUCACCUAAGGAAGCUCACCGUAGAUCCUGAACCUUAUUUCCUGGAUGCUGCUGUCAUUGACCAUGACGCUGACAGAGGGCAAGGCCAGCUCAUCUUUGCAGAACCUUGGGAGCUUGACCAUGUACUCACCACUAUCCUGCAGGAAGUGUUCAACUCCUGGAAAGUUCAUCUGCUCCAAAUCUACACACUUGAGUAUUGGGAACAGGCCUCACCAUGCCUCAAAUGACUCAGAAGUCAAGAGCACCACGACACGCCUGAGAUGUUCAAUGCAGAAAACCACUUCCAGAGACAUCCGGAAGAUGUGGAAGAUGUGGCCAUUUAAGUCCGCAGGUAAUUAUGAAUAUUUCUUAAGGGAUGGAUGUUUAUAGGGCAAUUUAUCUUUUCUAGGUAGGUG